CACUGAAUCAACAGACAGUGGAUGUGACUGGAAACGUGGGACAGUCUGUCCUUCUGCCCUGCUCCUGCUCUGAACUACAAGCCAAACCACACACUUUCAGAUGGAGCUUUUAUAAUGAAUCUGAUAUGAAAAUCAUCUCAGCAGACCAGACAAAUCGCUACACAGGCAGAGUUCAGCUCUUUAAUGAUCAUCCUCCAGGAAAUCUCUCUCUACUCAUAUCACACCUGACUGUAGAGGAUGGAGGAUGGUACAGGUGUGAGAUCAGUGAAAUGAAAACAUACAUCUACCUCACAGUGAAAGAACCCCUUCUCUACAUCCCUGUCGCCAUGGUGACUGUGAUCUUUCUGCACAUUAUCGUGGCUUUGGUUUAUUGCACCACCAUAAAGAAAGGUCCUGGUACAGUUCAUUACAGCAGAGGUGAUGGAGAUGGAACAGUGAGUCUGCAGUAGAGAAUAUCUCAGUUCGCUGAUCUAUCAAAAAAUGAAUCAAUAGAUUUCUUCAGAAAUAGUCUAUGGCGUCAAAUUAGUGGCAUAAGUAUCAUAUUCAUAACAAAUUAUAUAUAUUAUACACAUAAAAAAAAUAAAACACGUGAAUCACAGAAAUAACAUGCGUGACACUGCAGGUUAGUGUUUGAACCUGUCUUGAGCAAGUGAGAAGUUUAAUUAAUACGCUUAAAGCUUCUUAUAUGUGUGUCUAUUGUAGUAUCAUGUCAACCCUCCUGUUAUUAUGCUAAAGAGUAUUUUAAUGAACUGAACAAGUGUAUCACUGUACAAUCAUUAGCAUCAUAGCAUAGCGUUAUUGCUGCUCAAACAGUAGAGUAGUGCGGUAUGUGUUCAGUAUCGUGAUGAAAUGUAUACCUUUAAAGUAAUGUGUUUAGUCUUAUCUCUGUAUUAACCCAGACUCUUAAUCAGAGUCCUGUAUCACCACAUCCCCAGUCUCAGGUCAGUUCUUUCUUUUUUUUGAAAAAAAAGAAAGAAAGAAAAUAAAGUUUUAUUAAAGCAUUGAUUGUUACUGUUUUAUAUUAAGGCCAGAGAGAGAGAGAGAGAGAGAGAGAGAGAGAGCUCUUUAUUCAUAUGAUAACAAUGGCUUCUUGUCAGAGUCAAAAAACUGUCAACAUAAAAUAACUCUUUAAAUUAGAAUUUAUUUCCAGACUCUUUAUUUCUGUCUGUAUGCUAGAUAUAGAUCAACAUCAUUCUGGAGUUGCAUGCCACCAUAAAAGCUGCAGAAGGAUUUAGGAUUAUUAGAUGUAAGCAUUGUAGAAAGAUGCUAUAAAUGUAAUGAAAACACAUUUAUUCCACAAUUUGCUGCACAUAGUUUAAAACUAAUAAAUACAGAUCUCGUCCAAAGUCUCGGGACGGGGAGUUUGGUUCAAUGGCUGUCCUAAACUGUGCCUGUGGCCACAGCAUCCAAUCAGUGUCUGUAAGCACAACCCCAACACUCAACAAUUGAGAACCAUUUUAGACAGAUUACAACUGGUUCCUUGGACAAUUAAGGCAUCUAACUAACGUGUACAUUGAUAUCGAUUACAUGUAGUAGUGCAUAAUCGCCCAUCUUCUCACUUGCUCAAGACAGGUUCAAACACUAACCGGCAGAUCAGUGAUGUCACUUUACUGAUUGGCUAGAGAAGGGCAGUAGGUUGAGAAGCAGUGGACCAAUGGAGACUUUCAUCCUGCCCCCUAAUCUGCAUAAAACUCUACUUGUGAUUUUUGGAAUAACAAACUAGCAUCCUUGUGAUUUGCGUGUUUUAUUCUCUUUUUUUUUUACGUGUAUUAUUUCUGUGAUGCAUGUUUUUUUUGUUUUUUUUUUGUUUUUUUUACGUGUAUGUUUUUUAACAAGUACAAUACUUCUGGCACUAAUUUGAUGCCAUCAUAGUCUUGAAUAAAUAGUUCUGUAAAUAUUGUAGCUUCAUUACAUAUUCAUGGUUUGUUCUCUCCAAACCUUUUAGACUUCCCUUUGAUGCUUAAUAGUAUUUCAGCUAAAUCACAGAAUGUGUGUGGUUAGAUUUUAACGUUGCUACGCCACUAUAUUAGGGCUAAGAUAAAUAUGUGAUACUUUAUUUUACAAAUGUGAAAGAAUGUAAAAUCAAUAGAAUUCAAUAGAUUUCAAGCCAUAAUUGAUUUUCUGUCUUUUGUUAUCUGGUAAAUUUGGUUUUUCAUUUGGAAUACUUUUCAAUUAUUCCUUCAUUUAUUUUCUUGUGAUUUGUGGUUUAAUUUGAAGUGAUGCAUCACACUUAUGUUUGGGGCAGAAACUUCCUACACUGAUGAAAGGGGACUUUCAUUUUGAACUUAAGUCACCCUGAAACAGGAAGGCCUACUGAAAUAAAAAGGUGGAGCCAACAGGAAGACAUGUGAGGAAUUAUUUGUGUUUGGAGGAUGAUUGGUUCUGAACUUUCCUUUUGGAGUUGCUUUUGAAUCAAUUGCCCAUCCAGUUCCAGGAGACAAUUAUGGAUCUGUGUUUAAGGUUAGACUUUCAUAAUGUUUGGUGGUAGGUAAUUUUUCUUCUUUUUUUUUUUAUUAACUGUUUUUCAUUUUUCAGUUUUUCAUUUUUUUCAUAUAUUUUGUAUUUUAUAUGCUCAUAUUUGCCUUAGUGUUUGUCAGUGUGGUGGUUUCAAAAAUAAAUAAAUAAAUAAAUGUGGGAAAUUAAGGAAAAAAAAUGUCAAUAAAUGAUAUCAGAGGAACAUUGAACUUGAAACAAGUGAAUGUAUUUUUUUUUUUUUUUUUUUUUAAAUGCACAGUAUGGUGUAUUAUCUGUGACUAUUAGUGUUCCCUGCUCAGCCUUGAAUGAUGCACUGAUUGUUUGACUGUUUUUCCCUUGGGAGGUGGUCACCUGUUUGGGGAGGGGUCGCGCUGCUCAGAAAAUACAGAGACUCUGAUGGUGAAGCAGCAGCUCUGUGUCUUGCGUUUUCUUAAUUAUUUACAUCUCCCCUCAUCAGGCAGUGAGGGUGCUACAUUUUUGGAGGCACCGCUGGGAUGAAUGCAGUGCGAGCUGGCUUCCAGUGAUGACAGCCCGCUUCCAGCCAGUGCCAUUCAGCGUACUACUCAGCCCAGGUGACCAGUGGAGUGAAGAUGUCUGAUGUCCAUAUCGAUCCCGGAACGAAAGUGCAAGCAGUCUGAGGUUGAUCUUCGAUACCAGAAGCACUGAAGGUUUCCAGCCAGCUAAGGACAUUACUUCUAUCACUUUGCACACAUCAAGAGACUGAGUAACUAAUGGAUCACAUAGAGGAUUUGAAGCUUGAGGUGAUAGGAGCUGUAUAUGCUAUCUGACAAGAAAAUUUGACUGAACUAUGUGCAUUCCUAGGGAUCGAGUGUGAAGAUGCCAGUAGCAAAAGCCAGUCAUUUCUUGUUUCUGUAAUUGUGAGACAUGUAGAGCGAGAGGCAUUAGGGGAAUUGGAAGAUGUCUAAAUGACAAAAUCUGUGAAAUUCAGAAGGUUAAUGAAAACAGUGAUUCAGAACAACAUGUAGCACAGACAACUAAGAGAGUGAAUGUAAAUCCAGUAGCAGAAACUACAGAGCAGGAUAAACUGCAAAAAGAAAUUUACGCUUAACAGUUAGCUUUGCAGAGUUUAAUAGAGCAAAAACAGAGCAGUUAACCACACACCACAAUGCACAGGUACACAACAGAACCUAAGCACUAUACAAAGUCAAAAUGUACAGUCAGACACAAGCUCCCAGUUGCAGUUAGUGACACACAGGCCAGUUAUGUCCCCCUGGAACAGAGAAUUUAAAAUAUCAGGACCGAUAGGUGAACCUGGACAAAAAGAUGAGCUCACCUUUUCAGGUUUGGCCCAUCAGAUCGAACAUGGAUUGACCAGGGGAGUUUCAGAGCUCGAAAUAGUGGACGCAGUGAUAAGAGCAAUUGUAUCAGUCAUGCAACUGUGUAGUUACCUGGAGGGAAAACCAAAUUUAACCCUGCCUGUGCUGAGACGUAUAUUAAGAGCACACUACCAAGAAAGAUGUGUGACCGAACUGUACAAACAGCUUACCUCUGAGGCACAAAGUAGUAAAGAGACCCCACAAAGUUUCCUUGUUAGGUGUCUUGACUUGCGGCAAAAGAUCCUGUUUGCAUCUCAGGAAGCAGAAUCCAGCUUGAAGUAAGACCAAGUUUUAGUCCAGAGCAUGUUUCUCAACACUGUCCUCAUUGGCCUGCAAAACGACAAUAUCAGAAGCAAUCUGCAACCUUACUUGACUAAAACUGAUGCGAGUGAUGAACUUCUCUUUGAUAAAGUUAAUAUCGCGUGUGCCAACGAAACAGAGCAUCAAAGCAAGAAGAAGCUUCUAGCUCAACAACAACAUCCCAAGAUGCAUUCAGUACAGGCCAGUGAAGUCCUCUGCUGAAGAGAAAAAAAAGACAUCAUGCCAUAAAAGCACAGAGAAACAUGAGCCUGGCAUCUUGAGUGAAUUAAAGGAAAUGCGAACAGAAAUGGCAUUGCUGAAGGAUCUCAGUGUAGAGGUUUCUCAGAUUAAAGAGUCCAUUAGACAACCGCAGGCCAUAUCUACACAGUGCUCUACUCGUGUGAGAGAUCAGACCGUCACGUCACCGCCUCAAUCUGCAUACCCAUCUCAAGGUUAUGUGCAGCCGUAUGGCAGAAGGGGGGGAGCCUUCCAAUGACAACAGUGGUUCCCGGCACAGCGCUACCACCCACCAUCAACACGUGAGAAAAUAUUUGGCAUGUCAACAAAGUGAGUUGGAUGUGUACUGUACUCACUGUUAUAGGUGUGGCAGUAGCGAUCAUUUUCUGGUUUGCUGUAGAGCAUGAGGACCAGCGAUGUAUAAAAAGCAGUCAUUAAACGAGACAGGGUCAUGACUGCAGGACGAGGAUUGACCAGUUAUGCAAUGAUGACCCCACCCAGCUGUGCGGAAUGUGGUAUCACAGGUUCUGGCCUUGGACUACGACAAUGCGCCGCCUCUAAACAAACAUUAUAUUGUUCAAAAGCAUGUCAGGCAAAUCAUUGGACAUUUCAUAAGAAACAAUGUAACCAGACAGCAAGAGUAAACGCACAUUCAGUAAAGCAAAGAAAGAAAUGGGAAGCCAAUAAUUCUACACGUGCCGCCUUUAUAGGAAAACAGUGUCUAGUGCCGUGUUACAUUCAGGGGCUCCUUGUCGAUGCAUUAUGGGAUACAUGAUCUAAGGUUUGUAUAGUGGAUGAAAUGUGGAAGAGGGAACACUUACCGAAUAUCAGACUGAGGAAUGUGGCCGAUGUAAUUGAUGUGCCUGAAAAACUCAGCAAAUGGACAAGACAUACUUUAUAUAGGAUGUAUGGAAGUGACUUUUGGCUUAGCAUCGAAUGAAGUGGAAACACUUAGACUGGUCGUGCUGGUGAUGAGGGGUAGUCAGCUUCAUCAUCCAAUCAUCGGAUAUAAUGUGAUCAAGCAAAUGGUGAGUGACAAGGGAAUAACACAGCUAGUCACAAGUGGAUUCCAGGGAACUACUUGUGGUGCAACAACAGAAACAGUGCAAGCUUUCAUCAAACAAAUUAGUUCUGAGACACCAUAUGAAUAUACAGUUAAAACAACAAAGGAGAGUGUCCAUGUGCCCAAACAUACAUCAGUACAAGUGGAAUGUAGAGUGCAGCCAUAUAGACCAAAGGAAGAGACUUUACUUAUUUUUGAGCCUGACAUCAACUCUCAGUGGACAGAAGGAUUUGGAGUUCUGUGAGACUAUUGUUACUCUGUGACCAUAUACUUCUCCACAUAUAAUUGUAAGUGUACAGAAUCCAACGGACCAUGACUUGAUGUUAACAGACAAGGCCGUCACUGGCACAGUUCAAAAAGCACAGGCUGUAUAUUCAGCUGCAGUUCUGUAAGGACCUGGUUUAACUCCUGUUGGAAUUAAUAAGGAAGAAACCAAUAUCCGCCAUACCUCUGACACUACUUGGAUUCUGCCAGUUGAUUUAAGCCAUCUCGGUGAGCCUGAAAAACAAACCAUGCAACAAAUGUUAAAGAAAGAAGCAGCUUCAUUUUCAAAAUCCAAGAAUGACAUUGGUUGCAUUGACAAUGCAUGAAAUUGAUUUUCGUCAGUUAACGACACUGUAAAUUGCCACAGAAUUUCAGGUUAACAAGUGUUCACAGGAAUGUGCAGAUAAUUGUUGGGAACUGCCAAAAAUUGACGUAGAAUAGGCUUGGCAGUUGACCCCCCCCAUGUUCCUAUCACCUUGGCCUGGGUUUAGCUUUCAUAUGUAAAUGACUACAGUGAGCUAUACAAAUGCAAACCAGGGUAGUGUGGGGAGGGGGGACUCACUGAUUGAGAGUGGGCUUAUUACCCAAAUGUAAAGAAAAUCUAGUGUAAAAAGCUGUCUUAUUUUAAUUAUAGAUUUUUAAAUUGUUGCUUGAAUUUUAAAUUGAGAUUUGUCUUACACAGUGUCCUAAACAACACGCGACGUGAUGCAGCGACACACAAGUAAAAUGUAUCUUUUCCAUGUUAAUCACUUUUUGUCCUGACCAGACUAACCAGUUUUAGAAACUGUUUUUCUUUCUGCGAUGUCGCGGCUGACAGCUCCGCCUAUACAGAGAUCUCAAUAAAAGUUCUGUGCAUUAAUAAUAUUAAUCAUCAAAAAUGGAUAAGGAGAGACUGAUUAUAGACGUUUAAUAGCAGAAAUAUAUAAUAAAUCCCUCAAGUUUUAUAAUGAAAGCCAUAAGAAGCAGAGGGGUGUAUCUCUCUAUGCAUGUGCACUCUUGAAUGCAAGUAUGUGUGAUGUGCAAGUAUGUGUGUAUGAAGUAAUGUGUGGACUGUAAUCUCUUCAGCUGCAGUAUGAGAAAGCACACAAACAGAGAAAACUGUUAUGAUUGGCUGUGUUUUACGAUUGAUCGUGUUCAGUAUGGACAAAAUUUCCUAUUGCUGGAAUCAUAUCACAUCGCGUCUAGUUAGACUAAUUACCUUGUGUACUAAAAGACACAAAACCAUUAAUAAUAAUAAACAAAUAAGGAAAAUACACAUGAAUUGGUUACAAUUCCAAAUCUUUUUUGUACAAGUUCCACUGUACAGUUUAAUGCUCUUCGAGUCACUUCGCAUGUGACGAGCCUUGGCCAAUCAGGUGCUAGGUCACGGUGACACGGUAUGUUCCUCCAAUCACAGACAAGGAAAUGAGACAAAGAGCGGAACCAAAACAUUCAAACAGAGAUGUUGCUCUUUCCUGGAAUUUGCUUACUGUUUUCAUUUUUACCCCCGGGUUUUAUAUUUACCCCUGCUCUUUAUAUUUACUUCGCGCUCUACAGUGACUAGCCAAGGAACUGAAGAGGGGGCUGCACAAUCCUAAAAUCGUGGAGGCAGUCCAUCCGCUACACAACUCUGAGGAAACUGUAGGCGCUAUGACCCGGAGCAUGGGAAAGAUAUGGGCUAACAUGCACUCUGUUGUUUCAGAAGUAAAUAAACACGUUGUUUUAACUCUGUACUCUUUGCCUCCACAGAUUAAGCUCGCCAUAUAAUGAGACGGUCACCUCAUUUUUGUGGCGCACUGUCCAUAAGCCCGGAAUUGCGCGAUGAAGGCCUGGAUAAAAAUGACUUUGUUGUUGCCUGUACGACAUACUACGAGACCGUGCACAGAAAUUUCCAGUCCAGCCAGCCAGAGCUAGCAAAUGUGGCUGCAGCUAAUAAGACCUCAGCCCGGAGUGGCCAGAGGAGGAAGAGGCGAGGCAAAGUGUACUGGCUGCGGACGAAGUGGACUUCUGGAGGGGAAACCCCGCUGACAUGAUGUCAGAUGAAGACAGUGCUGUUGAUGGAGUCUCAGAGUGGAUUGAGACCUCCAUUGUUCAGCAGCCAGGAGCUCAGCAAUCUGUGUGCUAAGCUGCAGACGAGACUAGAAGCCAGUUCAAAGUAUGCAGCACUGCAUCACCGGUGUCUGUGAACUGGGUUUCCAUCUAACAGAACGCCACCACAUACCUACGACCCAGAGGCAGCAAAAAGACAUUUGAUGCCAAACAUGAUGCCAUGAAAAUAAUCUCUGGCUACUUUUUGUGUAUUUAUAUUUCAUAUGUCUAUUUAAUAAAACUCUUACAUUUAAUCAG